UACGUAGGGUGCGAGCGUUAAUCGGAAUUACUGGGCGUAACGCGUGCGCAGGCGGCUUUGCAAGACAGAUGUGAAAUCCCCGGGCUCAACCUGGGAACUGCAUUUGUGACUGCAAGGCUAGAGUACGGCAGAGGGGGGUGGAAUUCCGCGUGUAGCAGUGAAAUGCGUAGAUAUGCGGAGGAACACCAAUGGCGAAGGCAAUCCCCUGGGCCUGUACUGACGCUCAUGCACGAAAGCGUGGGGAGCAAACAGG
rnacentral:rRNA from 1 species